AGUGAACGCUGGCGGUAGGCCUAACACAUGCAAGUCGAACGGCAGCACAGUAAUAGCUUGCUCUUACGGGUGGCGAGUGGCGGACGGGUGAGGAAUACAUCGGAAUCUACUUUUUCUUGGGGGAUAACGUAGGGAAACUUACGCUAAUACCGCAUACGACCUACGGGUGAAAGCAUGGGAUCUUCGGACCUUGCGCGAUUCAAUGAGCCGAUGUCGGAUUAGCUAGUUGGCGGGGUAAAGGCCCACCAAGGCGACGAUCCGUAGCUGGUCUGAGAGGAUGAUCAGCCACACUGGAACUGAGACACGGUCCAGACUCCUACGGGAGGCAGCAGUGGGGAAUAUUGGACAAUGGGCGCAAGCCUGAUCCAGCCAUACCGCGUGGGUGAAGAAGGCCUUCGGAUUGUAAAGCCCUUUUGUUGGGGAAGAAAAGCAGCAGGUUAAUACCCCGCUGUUCUGACGGUACCCAAAGAAUAAGCACCGGCUAACUUCGUG
rnacentral:rRNA from 1 species